rnacentral:rRNA from 1 species
AGACCCGAAACCCGGUGAUCUAGCCAUGGGCAGGUUGAAGGUUGGGUAACACUAACUGGAGGACCGAACCGACUAAUGUUGAAAAAUUAGCGGAUGACCUGUGGCUGGGGGUGAAAGGCCAAUCAAACCGGGAGAUAGCUGGUUCUCCCCGAAAGCUAUUUAGGUAGCGCCUCGUGAAUUCAUCUCCGGGGGUAGAGCACUGUUUCGGCUAGGGGGCCAUCCCGGCUUACCAACCCGAUGCAAACUGCGAAUACCGGAGAAUGUUAUCACGGGAGACACACGGCGGGUGCUAACGUCCGUCGUGAAGAGGGAAACAACCCAGACCGCCAGCUAAGGUCCCAAAGUCAUGGUUAAGUGGGAAACGAUGUGGGAAGGCCCAGACAGCCAGGAUGUUGGCUUAGAAGCAGCCAUCAUUUAAAGAAAGCGUAAUAGCUCACUGGUCGAGUCGGCCUGCGCGGAAGAUGUAACGGGGCUAAACCAUGCACCGAAGCUGCGGCAGCGACACUCAGGUGUUGUUGGGUAGGGGAGCGUUCUGUAAGCCUGCGAAGGUGGCCUGUGAGGGUUGCUGGAGGUAUCAGAAGUGCGAAUGCUGACAUAAGUAACGAUAAAGCGGGUGAAAA